CCUGGGAGAGCUGUGUGUCUGUGUGUGGGUUGCAGUCCUUGACAAUGAAGGAAGGGGCUUGAAAAAGUGUUUAAAGGCAAGAGACUAACCCUGACUUACCUCCACUCCUAUCAUGGACCAACCUUUCUGUGGAUCCACACCUCCCUUCAUCUGCAGUCCCACUCAUGAGGGAUCCCUACUCACCCUUUGUCUGAAAAAGGACACACAUCCUUCAUCUGAACUUCUCACCAAACGGGCUGCAGCCCAAGGCACCAUCCCACACAGGGAUAGGCAGAUAUCUCCGAUUUUUAAGGUUGUGAUAAAAAUCCUGGUGAAGAAAUGGAAUUGCAGCAGCAAGGGAAAACAAGGCAUCUCAAGCAACUAAAAAAAAUCUGAACACA